GCUUUUAAAUAACAACCACAUUAGAAGAAUCCCAAGAGGAGCCUUUGAAGAUUUGGAAAACCUAAAAUAUCUCUAUUUGUACAAGAAUGAAAUCCAGGCGAUAGACAGAGAAGCUUUUAAGGGGCUCGUCUCUCUAGAACAGCUAUACCUGCACUUCAACAACAUUGAGUCAUUGGAGCCGGUGUCUUUCUCUCAUCUACCCAAGCUGGAGCGGCUGU